rnacentral:rRNA from 1 species
GGCUCCUUGCUAGAAUUUAAUAAGGAGUCGGACCUGCCCAGUGAUAGUAAUAUUCAACGGCCGCGGUACUUUGACCGUGCAAAGGUAGCAUAAUCAUUUGCCCUAUAAUUGAGGGCUAGUAUGAAAGGUUUGACAAGAACACAACUGUCUCUAUAAAAAUCUUUAAAAUUUAUUUUUUAGGUGAAGAAACCUAAAUUCUAUUAAAAGACAAGAAGACCCUAUCGAGCUUUAAAUCUAUUUAUAUAAUAAAAAAAGUAUUACUAUAUUUUUAUAUAUAAAAAACUUUGGUUGGGGCGACUAAGGAACAAAAAAAGCUUCUUUAACAGUAAUAACUCUCUAGUUAUGAUCCAUUAUUUGUGAUUAAAGAAAUUAGUUACCGUAGGGAUAACAGCAUAAUCUUUUUUGAGAGUUCUUAUCGAAAAAUAGGUUUGUGACCUCGAUGUUGGACUAGAAUAUCCUGACAGAUGCAGAUGUCUUCAAGGGUUGGUCUGUUCGACCAUUAAAAUUCU